rnacentral:lncRNA from 1 species
CAGUCCACAUACUAUGGAGUCAUCGCCAUCGGUACACCCCCUCAGUUGUUCAAGGUUCUCUUUGACACAGGCUCUGCUGACCUGUGGGUGCCCUCUACACUGCAGCAGCAGCCAGGCUUGCAGAAACUUGCAGCCCACCUCAGAGACUUUCUCCAUCCAAUAUGUCACUGGUUAAAUGACAGGGGAUGUGGGAUAUGACACCAUAAUAAUCAGUGACACCAUAUCUUUGGCCGGAGUCUGGUGGGGGACACUCAUGCAGACAUUACCAUGGGAUGGGAUUAUGGGUCUGGCCUUCCCCAAGCAGCUGUCAAUUAAGGGAGGCACUCCUGUAUUUGGCAACAUUUGGAAACAUGGCAAGAUCCCCCAAGACCUGUUCUCCAUCUAACUGACCAAGUGAGAUUUCACUGGAGGACAGGGUUGUAGAUGGCAGUUUGUUAAUCCUGGGAGGAACCGAGCCCUCCUACUUCAAAGGAAGCAUCCAAUGGAUUCCCAUCUCUCAACCUACUGGCUACUGGCAGUAUAAAGUAGACAGGUAAUAUUGUGGACGGCUAAUGAAUUAGUUUAUGUGUAACAGAAUAAAAGAUUAUCAUUGUCCCACAGAAGACACCAACCAAGUUCAAACUCAUGAGCAGUCAUUGGUGUUAUGUGUACUUUUGUUGUUGAUGACUCUAUAGAAUAGUGAUGUUAUUUGUCUUAAGGUGGCAGGUAGCUUAGUGGUUAGAGCGUUAGGCCAGUAACUGAAAGGUUGGUGGAUCGAAUCCCAAAGCUGACAAAAUAACAAUCUGUCGUUCUGUCCCUGCACAAAGCAAUUAACCCAGUGUUCCUAGGCUGUC